rnacentral:rRNA from 1 species
AGUGAACGCUGGCGGUAGGCCUAACACAUGCAAGUCGAACGGCAGCACAGUAAGAGCUUGCUCUUACGGGUGGCGAGUGGCGGACGGGUGAGGAAUACAUCGGAAUCUACUUUUUCGUGGGGGAUAACGUAGGGAAACUUACGCUAAUACCGCAUACGACCUACGGGUGAAAGCAGGGGAUCUUCGGACCUUGCGCGAUUGAAUGAGCCGAUGUCGGAUUAGCUAGUUGGCGGGGUAAAGGCCCACCAAGGCGACGAUCCGUAGCUGGUCUGAGAGGAUGAUCACCCACAGUGGAAAUGGAAAACGGCCCAGACCCCCACGGGGGGCAGGAGGGGGGAAUUUUGGAAAAGGGGCGCAAGCCUGAUCCAGCCAUACCGGGGGGGUGAAGAAGGCCUUCGGGUUGUAAAGCCCUUUUGUUGGGAAAAAAAAGCAGCAGGUUAAAACCCCGCUGUUCUGACGGUACCAAAAGAAUAAGCACCGGCUAACUUCGG